rfam:Apaloderma vittatum contig40798, whole genome shotgun sequence.
GGCCAGUUAGCUCAGUUGGUUGAACGUGGUGCUGAUAACACCAAGGUCACGGGUUCAAUCCCCGUUUGGUCC